rnacentral:rRNA from 1 species
AGGGAGGUAGUGACAAUACAUAACAAUGCGCGGCUCUUCGAGUCGGGCAAUUGGAAUGAGCACACGGUAAAUAGGUUAGCGAGGAACAAUUGGAGGGCAAGUCUGGUGCCAGCAGCCGCGGUAAUUCCAGCUCCAAUAGCGUAUAUUAAAGUUGUUGCAGUUAAAAAGCUCGUAGUUGGAAAUUGGGCACGGCCGGGCGGUCCACCUUAGGGUGCGUACUGCUCAGUGGCGUCUCGGCGUCGCGAGGCUGAGCCUUGGCCGCGUCCUCGUGCAGGGGCAACCUUGUACGCGGGACAGGCAGUUACCUUGAAAAAAUUAGAGUGUUCAAAGCAGGCGUCUCCGCCGGAAUAGAUUAGCAUGGAAUAGCGGAAUAGGACCUUGGUUCCGUUUUGCUGGUUCUCAGGACCACGGUAAUGAUCAACAGGGACAGUUGGGGGCACUAGUAUUUCAGGGCUAGAGG